UGAGGAAGAAGAGGUCAGAGUUCUGGAAUCAGAAAGAGCAAGUAGGAAGGGUGCUGCACCUAAGGACUCUAGAUCCUUGGUUUGGGACUGGGCCUCACACAUGUAAUGUGAGGCUCUUGAGACUGAGGAGGACUGCUGUUCGGUCAGGAUCAGAAGGAAUAUGCUAGAGUUCAAGCCACCAUGCAAGAUCCGUGAGCAACUCCUUAGGUGAAUUGUGAAAGACAGCCAGGAUUCCUUCAACCUACACAGUGACCAACCUCAUCUCCUCCAAAUUUCAGGUUGUGCUGCAGCCUAAUCAAUCAGCAAUCUGAAUAAAAAUAAAACUGGAAAGUUAUCCUUUCCAAUCACC
ensembl:lncRNA LINC02919 long intergenic non-protein coding RNA 2919